rnacentral:misc_RNA from 1 species
GGGAAGCUAAACCGCGAGGUCAUGCCAAUCCCAGAAAACUUUCUCAGUUCGGAUCGCAGUCUGCAGCUCGACUGCGUGAAGCUGGAAUCGCUAGUAAUCGCGGAUCAGCACGCCGCGGUGAAUACGUGCACGGGCCUUGUACACACCGCCCGUCACACCAUGGGAGCCGACAAGGGCAGAAGUCGCCGAGCUAGCCUUCGUGAAGCAGGCGCCCAAGCUGUUGUUGACGACUGGGGUGAAGUCGUAACAAGGUAGCCGUAGGAGAACCUGCGGCUGGAUCACCUCCUUUCUAAGGACGCCGGAGAUGCUUUAUGCUUAUCUCCGGAUAGUCAAAGUCGAAACAGACUCUCUUCCCUUCUCUCCCUUUUCUCCUGUAAAUGCUAAGUUAUGAAUUUAGAGCAACGAAAGAAUACAGUUCGUUACUGUGGACUCCUAAUUUCAAGAGGGGCCUGUAGCUCAGCUUGGUUAGAGCGCAUCCCUGAUAAGGAUGAGGCCGGUGGUUCAAGUCCACUCAGGCCCACCAGUUUCAGUGGGGGAUUAGCUCAGCUGGUAGAGCGCCUGCUUUGCAAGCAGGAGGUCAGCGGUUCGACCCCGCUAUCCUCCACCAAAUUAAGGUACAGUAAAAAAAGGUGGUGCAGCUUAGCAGAAGAUAAGCUUCAGCAAUUAUUUAAUAAUUUCUGAAUUUUGUUUUUUAAUAUCUUAGACAAUUGAAUCGGAGGUUUUGGAGACACAAGAUCAAAUGUGAGGGUCUCCAAGGGUUGACGAUCUUGACUGUUAAAGUCAGGUAGUAAGGGCGCAGGGCGGAUGCCUUGGCUCUGGGAAGCGAAGAAGGACGUGGCCAGCUGCGAUAAGCCUCGGGGAAGA